ACAUACACGGUCGAGGCAGGGGGCUGAUGUUUACCAACAAUUCUAAGAAUGUACAAAUUGAUUAUUACUGCAUGAAAAUGGAGUCUUUCGUGAGCCAACGAGUGCACAUAGUCAAGCCUCAGAAAGAGUUCCUGCUAAUGCAUCGUAUACGUCUUAUCAGGCGGAUUGGGAGAGAAGCUUGUCGGAAGAUUACCAUCUCUACCAUAAACUAGAGCGAAUGGAGCAAAGCCUGUUGCCUCGUAAACAUUCACACUUUUCAGACAUCAUCGAACCAUCGACUGAGACAAAAUGAGCAAUAUGGCCUUUUCCCAUAUAAAUUUUGUCAUUACUGCAUGAUACACACGCGUCUGAGAUGACCAAUGCAGGAAUCUUUUCAAGUACAGCAUCUCCAUCUCCUGCAAAGCGCACAAUUCACUUUGCAUCUUUACGGCAGAAGAAUUUAGUCCAAUAUCUAGUGUUGGGUCGUUACCUGAAAUUACGGAUAACGGUAGAAAUUUCCGGUAAAGUAGAGGAAAUUCUCCGGUAACGAAUGGUAACGAAAUUAAAAAAAAAAUUAAUACUAAAUUUGAAUUGCUCAUUGUUUUUACGUUUAUUUAAUAUAAUUUCUUUAAAUAUUUGUCACAUUAAAUAACUUGUGGGAAAACUUUCACGUUUAAAAGUGUUCCUUAACCUCUAUGGUGGGACUUGGUUCUGCUUAAAAAUGUAUGUUUACAUUAUUUUUUGCAAAAAGUUUGUUCCUUUUAAAUCUUUACACUUUGCAAAUUGAGUGGACAGCAAUUACGCGUGGGUAUAUUAUAUAAAAAAGUCUAUGAAAAACAUUUCUUGAACAUAUCUAAGGGUGGCACAUUAUAUUUUUCUAAAUAUUUUGGAAAUAUAUUGGCCAAUACGAAAUUUACUGUAAUAAUAGAUAACGUUAAGAUAAGAGG